rnacentral:rRNA from 1 species
UACAGAGGUCUCAAGCGUUGUUCGGAUUCAUUGGGCGUAAAGGGUGUGUAGGUGGCGCGCUAAGUCGGGUGUGAAAUUUCGGAGCUUAACUCCGAAACUGCAUUCGAUACUGGCGUGCUUGAGGACUGGAGAGGAGACUGGAAUUCAUGGUGUAGCAGUGAAAUGCGUAGAGAUCAUGAGGAAGACCAGUGGCGAAGGCGGGUCUCUGGGACAGUUCCUGACACUGAGACACGAAGGCCAGGGGAGCAAACGGG